rnacentral:rRNA from 1 species
AUUGAACGCUGGCGGCAGGCCUAACACAUGCAAGUCGAACGGUAACAGGAAGAAGCUUGCUUCUUUGCUGACGAGUGGCGGACGGGUGAGUAAUGUCUGGGAAACUGCCUGAUGGAGGGGGAUAACUACUGGAAACGGUAGCUAAUACCGCAUAACGUCGCAAGACCAAAAAGGGGGACCUUCGGGCCUCUUGCCAUCGGCUGUGCCCAGAUGGGAUUAGCUAGUAGGUGGGGUAACGGCUCACCUAGGCGACGAUCCCUAGCUGGUCUGAGAGGAUGACCAGCCACACUGGAACUGAGACACGGUCCAGACUCCUACGGGAGGCAGCAGUGGGGAAUAUUGCACAAUGGGCGCAAGCCUGAUGCAGCCAUGCCGCGUGUAUGAAGAAGGCCUUCGGGUUGUAAAGUACUUUCAGCGGGGGGGAAGGGAGUAAAGUUAAUACCUUUGCUCAUUGACGUUACCCGCAGAAGAAGCACCGGCUAACUCCGUG